GAAGCAAUACUUUUUCUAACAUUAACGCCAACAUACGUCCAGUCCGGUUUCUGCCUUUCGACUAAAGUUGUAGCCUAUGCAGCAGACAAAUCCCCAGGUUCUGUAAUAUUGGCGUCCAGAGGAUAAUUGACAUGUGACUGCACAAAAUCCAGAGGCCUACUGGAAAGGAAACGGCACACUACACCGCAGAAUUCCAAUAACGGUGAAGGGCUUCAGGGUGCUGCCGCUCCGCAGUACUCCAUAUGGAUUGGCACGCCGGUUUGAGAACGUUUUCUAGCCGCCAUAUUGUCAGGCCCGUUAUUUGCCCUGGCUCUGUGUCGGAGCGUGACACUGAGGCUGUGCCAGCUUUGUCACUGAUGUGCGGAAGGUCCACCUUCAGAACAGGAAGCCAUUGUGUUGUUUGUAUAUGAAACACAUGUCUCUGUACACUUGAGUUCCAAUGUCCCUGUAGGAGGAAAAAUCCUAACACUAUUGAAACAUGUUGGGUUUCAACCACCAGGGGUCACCAAAAGCCUGUGGUCUUCAUUGAAGGUGUUUUAUUUUCAUGUCAUGAAUAUACGCUGAUUUCUCUCUGUGACAUGUUAACAUUUUCCAGUAUGUAAAUUAAAUUGUUUGCGAUUCCCCUGAA